rnacentral:tRNA from 1 species
GGUCACGUGGCCGAGUGGUUAGGCAACGGUCUGCAAAACCGUUUACACCGGUUCGAAUCCGGUCGUGACCUCCA